rnacentral:rRNA from 1 species
UACAGAGGGUGCGAACGUUGCUCGGAAUUACUGGGCGUAAAGCGCAUGUAGGCGGGUCUGCAAGUCAGAUGUGAAAUCCCCGGGCUCAACCCGGGAACUGCAUCUGAAACUGCAGGCCUUGAGUACUGGAGACGGUGGCGGAAUUCCUGGUGUAGAGGUGAAAUUCGUAGAUAUCAGGAGGAACACCGGUGGCGAAGGCGGCCACCUGGACAGUAACUGACGCUGAGAUGCGAAAGCGUGGGGAGCAAACAGG